rnacentral:rRNA from 1 species
UACAGGGGGGGCAAGCGUUGUUCGGAAUUACUGGGCGUAAAGGGUUUGUAGGCGGCUUGCUUAGUCAGACGUGAAAUCCCUCAGCUUAACUGGGGAACUGCGUCUGAUACUGGCGAGCUUGAGUGCAGGAGAGGAGCGCGGAAUUCCAGGUGUAGCGGUGAAAUGCGUAGAUAUCUGGAGGAACACCGGUGGCGAAGGCGGCGUUCUGGACUGCAACUGACACUGAAAAACGAAAGCCAGGGGAGCAAACGGG